rnacentral:rRNA from 1 species
AUUGAACGCUGGCGGCAGGCCUAACACAUGCAAGUCGAGCGGAUGACGGGAGCUUGCUCCUUGAUUCAGCGGCGGACGGGUGAGUAAUGCCUAGGAAUCUGCCUGGUAGUGGGGGACAACGUUUCGAAAGGAACGCUAAUACCGCAUACGUCCUACGGGAGAAAGCAGGGGACCUUCGGGCCUUGCGCUAUCAGAUGAGCCUAGGUCGGAUUAGCUAGUAGGUGAGGUAAUGGCUCACCUAGGCGACGAUCCGUAACUGGUCUGAGAGGAUGAUCAGUCACACUGGAACUGAGACACGGUCCAGACUCCUACGGGAGGCAGCAGUGGGGAAUAUUGGACAAUGGGCGAAAGCCUGAUCCAGCCAUGCCGCGUGUGUGAAGAAGGUCUUCGGAUUGUAAAGCACUUUAAGUUGGGAGGAAGAGCAGUAAGUUAAUACCUUGCUGUUUUGACGUUACCGACAGAAUAAGCACCGGCUAACUUCGUGCCAGCAGCCGCGGUAUAC